rnacentral:rRNA from 1 species
UUGUAAUUGGAAUGAUGGGAAUUUAAACCUCUUCCAGAGUAUCUUCCUGGAGGGCAAGUCUGGUGCCAGCAGCCGCGGUAAUUCCAGCUCCACUAGCGUAUAUUAAAAUUGUUGCAGUUAAAAAGCUCGUAGUUGAAUUUCUGCUGUAUUGCAUUUUCUCUUUUUAUAUGAGUUUUUGCAUUAUGGCUUAUUUCAGUAUUAAUUUUUUAUUAUUACUGAAUGUUUACUUUGAGAAAAUUAGAGUGCUCAAAGCAGGCUUUUGCCUUGAAUAGUUUAGCAUGGAAUAAUAAAGUAGGACUUUGGUUCUAUUUUGUUGGUUUUAGGUACCAAAGUAAUGGUUAAUAGGAACAGUUGGGGGCAUUCGUAUUUAACUGUCAGAAGGUGGAAUUCUUAGAC